GGCCGGGAUGGGGUGCCGGGUUGGAGGGUGGGACCCCCUGGCAAAAGACGGGGUCCCCUCUUCCCCAAGCGGCAAGCCAUCCCCCUUCCUCCCUUCCCUCCCCCCAGUCUCGGAGAUCAGAGAAGCACCGACUGGGAGGGUGGACCCAUGGGGCCUGCAGUCACUCUGGCCGACCCUUCGACCCUCAAGAACCUCCAUCAGCGCCAGGGAGCCUGGGCCCGGAACUGCCUCUCUGCCCCAGCAGCACCCUCUUGGUGCCCUUCCCUCCCCUUCCUGUGCCCCAAUUUCCAGAGGGUCUGAACACACUGACCCCCAAAGAGAAGCCCUGCAGAGCAGAGACCUCACCCUGAGAAGCCUGCACCCCCUGGACAUCUUGACUCCAUCCUUCAGCAUCCUUUCCCUCACUGUAUCCUGACUGCUUGGACCAUCCUCCUCUCCAGCCUCCACUGAACAACAGAUUGGGAAGGGGAAUUUCACAAGGUUUGAGCGGCAGAGAUGUCCUAGGGCCAGGAAGCUCCACUUUGGGAAGCCAGGACCAUUUUCACCUCCUCUGGGGAUGAGAUUGAGGGAAUCCCGGCCAAGAGGAAACAGAUGCCCCCUCCGCCCCUCCCUGGGCAGCCUGGGAGCACAGCCUCAGCCCAUGCAUCCUGUCUCUCCCGACCAGCCCCUGCUGCCCCACCCUGCUCCAGUGGUUUCCCCAUUACCUGUUACUCUGAUGAAGAGCCCCUCAAGGGUCAAGGGCCAAAGUGAG
ensembl:lncRNA